GAAAUGCGAUAAGUAAUGUGAAUUGCAGAAUUCAGUGAAUCAUCGAAUCUUUGAACGCACAUUGCGCUCGCCAGUAUUCUGGCGAGCAUGCCUGUUCGAGCGUCAUUUCAACCAUCAAGGUCUGCUUGCGUUGGGGAUCCGCGGCUGCCCGCGGUCCCUCAAAAACAGUGGCGGGCUCGCUAGUCACACCGAGCGUAGUAACUCUACAUCGCUAUGGUCGUGCGGCGGGUUCUUGCCGUAAAACCCCCAAUUUCUAAGGUUGACCUCGGAUCAGGUAGGAAUACCCGCUGAACUUAAGC
rnacentral:misc_RNA from 1 species